CCUAGAGUUGUAGGCUUUGCCUGCUAUCUCUUACCCAUGUCUUUUGAGUACCUUCGUUUCCUCGGCGGGUCCGCCCGCCGAUUGGACAAUUUAAACCAUUUGCAGUUGCAACCAGCGUCUGAAAAAACUUAAUAGUUA
rnacentral:misc_RNA from 1 species